UACGUAGGGUGCGAGCGUUGUCCGGAAUUACUGGGCGUAAAGAGCUCGUAGGUGGUUUGUCGCGUUGUUCGUGAAAUCUCACGGCUUAACUGUGAGCGUGCGAGCGAUACGGGCAGACUGGAGUACUGCAGGGGAGACUGGAAUUCCUGGUGUAGCGGUGGAAUGCGCAGAUAUCGGGAAGAACACCCGUGGCGAAGGCGGCUCUCUGGAACGCAACUGACGCUGAGACGCGAAAGCGUGGGGAGCAAACAGGG
rnacentral:rRNA from 1 species